AGAGUUUGAUCAUGGCUCAGGACGAACGCUGGCGGCGUGCCUAACACAUGCAAGUCGAGCGGAGUUUACGGCGUAGUUUACUACAUCGUAAACUUAGCGGCGGACGGGUGAGUAACGCGUGAGCAACCUGCCCUAUACAGGGGGAUAACAUCGGGAAACCGAUGCUAAUACCCCAUGACACCGGGACAUCGCAUGAUGGUCUGGUCAAAGGAGGAAUCCGGUAUAGGAUGGGCUCGCGUCCCAUUAGCUAGUUGGUGAGGUAAAGGCUCACCAAGGCAACGAUGGGUAGCCGACCUGAGAGGGUGAUCGGCCACACUGGGACUGAGACACGGCCCAGACUCCUACGGGAGGCAGCAGUGGGGAAUAUUGCGCAAUGGGGGGAACCCUGACGCAGCAACGCCGCGUGAGUGAGGAAGGCCUUCGGGUCGUAAAGCUCUGUCAUUAGGGACGAAAGAAAUGACGGUACCUAAGGAGGAAGCCCCGGCUAACUACGUGCCAGCAGCCGCGGUAAUACGUAGGGGGCGAGCGUUGUCCGGAAUUACUGGGCGUAAAGGGCGUGUAGGCGGCUGAUUAAGUCAGAUGUGAAAGGCCCCGGCUUAACCGGGGUAUUGCAUUUGAAACUGGUUAGCUUGAGUGCAGGAGAGGAAAGUGGAAUUCCUAGUGUAGCGGUGAAAUGCGUAGAUAUUAGGAGGAACACCAGUGGCGAAGGCGACUUUCUGGACUGUAACUGACGCUGAGGCGCGAAAGCGUGGGUAGCGAACAGGAUUAGAUACCCUGGUAGUCCACGCUGUAAACGAUGGAUACUAGGUGUAGGGGGUAUCGAAACCCUCUGUGCCGGAGUAAACGCAAUAAGUAUCCCGCCUGGGGAGUACGGCCGCAAGGUUGAAACUCAAAUGAAUUGACGG
rnacentral:rRNA from 1 species